UUUUGAUUUUAACGCUCGUGCCAUGUGGUAUAAUAUAUUAGUCAUACAUAAUGGGAAAAUGUUUCAGUAUAAUUAAGUGUUCGACAGUAAUUUACGUGUUUAGUGCAUAAUGUUAAGUAAAAUAGUUUUAAUAUGUUUCUUCAAUUGUUUAAAUCUUCAAGCAAAAGCAGACACACAAUGCGAUGACUUUACUUUGGAUAUUAUAGAUAUACGGGACUUUAGCAAUUUUAAGUCAAUGGAAUUAAACAAUUCAAUAGCAUACAUACACACAACAGCCAAAGAACUCAGUGCCUGUGACUAUCUUCGGGUAUAUGUUGAGUUAGAAGAUCCAGUGCCUGGUCUAACGAGUGCAAAGGCCAACUUCACACUUAAGCUGGAAAACACAUCACAGAGCAGCCUCAUAUCCCAGGAGAAUCAGGUUCAUGGUGGCCUCAUAGCUGGAAUUAUCAUCGGUCUGAUACUCCUCAUGCUUGCUGGAUAUUAUGGAUAUAAUUUACUGAUGGAAAAACUUAAAUCUGGAGUUUAUCGUUUCCCUCCGACAACAGAAACAAUACAGUUCAAACCACUAUGAUGCAAUUGUAACUUGUGUGUAUAUAUAUAUAUAUAUAAUAAAUAGCCAAUAACCAAUACUUUUAGCUUUUUACUUAUAUUCUAUUAAGUAAGAAUUUAUCUUAAGAAAGCCAUCGUCUCAAUAUGAUUGAAAUAUAAAUAAAACAUAUAUAUAUGACAUCACACCAUCAUUAAGAGCGGACACUAACCAAAAUCACUCAUCGUAGAUUUGAUAAUCUAUGUAGUUGAUGCUUGAAUUAAAAGUAAUAAAUAUGUAUUGAUCCAUCACUAUAAUUUCAAUAGUUCACUUUGAUUAAAAACACAGUACAAAUUCCGCGAUACAAAAAACCCAGUCAUCUUUUUAUUUAAUUAUGUCAAGUGCCAUGGAGCCAAAAAGUAAUUUAAUAAAAACCUUACCUCUAGCAUCUAGAGUGUCCAUUGGCGGCGGUAUCACUUAACAUCAGAUGAGCCUCCUGCCCGUUUGCCUCCUGUUCUAUAAAAAAAAACCACCACCGCACCACACAGUUACCGCAUCAUGUGGCCGCGCUCUUAGUUUCACAAAACAUUAUGUCGUCCGUCUCUCCGUCCGCAAUUUUCUCUCCUACCUUUAACAGUGUUUCCCAACCUUCCAUGUACCUUUAGCCUAUUUAAUAAUAAUUGUUCUCUU